rnacentral:rRNA from 1 species
AUCUCUUAAAGACUGUUCUCAGUUCGGACUGCAGUCUGCAACUCGACUGCACGAAGCUGGAAUCGCUAGUAAUCGCGGAUCAGCACGCCGCGGUGAAUACGUUCCCGGGCCUUGUACACACCGCCCGUCACACCAUGGAAGUCUGCAAUGCCCGAAGCCGGUGGCCUAACCACUUAUGUGGAAGGAGCCGUCUAAGGCAGGGCAGAUGACUGGGGUGAAGUCGUAACAAGGUAUC